rnacentral:rRNA from 1 species
AUUGAACGCUGGCGGCAGGCCUAACACAUGCAAGUCGAACGAGUGGCGGACGGGUGAGUAAUGUCUGGGAAACUGCCUGAUGGCGGGGGAUAACUGCUGAAAAAGGUAGCUAAUACCGCAUCCCAUCGGAGGUGCCCAGCUGGGAUUAGCUGGUGGGUGGGGUAACGGCUAACCAAGGCGAGGAUCACUAGCUGGUCUGAGAGGAUGACCAGCCACACUGGAACUGAGACACGGUCCAGACUCCUACGGGAGGCAGCAGUGGGGAAUAUUGCACAAUGGGCGCAAGCCUGAUGGAGCCAUGCCGCGUGUAUGAAGAAGGCCUUCGGGUUGUAAAGUACUUUCAGCGGGGAGGCGUUACCCGCAGAAGAAGCACCGGCUAACUCCGUGCCAGCAGCCGCGGUAAUUC